UGGAUGCUGAUGAGGGAAAGAUUUUUAUAUAAUCCAACACUUGAUCUGAGAUAUUACAUUAUCGAGUGAGGUUUUAUUCAUUUUCUUCUGAAUCUAC